CCUGACUCUAGAGGCACAGCAGGUGUGGCUAUUGUGUCACAUGUGUGUGUGUCAGUAGGUGGCAGAGAGGAGACAGGCUAUGUCUAAGCAUAGCGUUCUGACCUGUGAAGAAUUGAAUGAUUAGGAGUCUAACAAU